GAAUAUCAGGCAAGAGUUUCUCAGAUUCAACAUGCACAAGAUUAUCAAAAUUAAUUUGCAUCUCACUCAAACAAACAGGAAGUUCAAGUUCAGAGAAAACUUGUUCUUGCUUCUCAAAAUUAACCUCAUUAUCCUCCACCAAAACAACAACUACAUUACUAAAUCUAUCAUAGAAAUUGAUGUUAGUGCAAGGAUUGUGAACAGCCACAGGUAUGUCAAUAUGUUUUAUUUCAAGUGCUGAAUCACAAGUGUGAGAAUGCAUAGGCAUAACAGGGACACUAUUCAACGCAGGUUCUAUGAGUUCAACUUUAAACAUAUCAAAAACAUUAAAAUGAGAUUGAACCUCCUCUAUGUCAAUUGGAAUAUUCAGUUCAGAGAAAACCUGUUGUCUUGAUUCACCAGCUGCCUCAUCAGGGACAUUUUCAGUCAGCUUGCGCUCCACUUCAUUAACCAGAACUACACUCUUUCUUUUAGGGUCUACCACCUCUUUUAAUUAUGUUACAAGAUCAUGAACCACAGGGUUAGUAUGUGCACAAAAAU
rnacentral:lncRNA from 1 species